GGGCGGGACUUGAAGAUGAUGGGCAUGUCCUGCUUUGAGCCCAGGCCAGAUUUUCGGUGCGGACUCUACCGGGGAUUUUUUUUUUUCCCCGGAGGUUGAGAUAGUGGGACGCACGUUAUUUUUUGGAGGAGACCGGAGUGAGAGGCCACGUUAGGAGAAGCUCCCCACGCGUUUCGCUGAAAAUCGAAACAGGUCGACGCGUCACCAUGACAACAGAAGCGGGCUCUGAGACCGAGGUGAAGGAGAAAGCCGAGGAGCCGGCCACUCAGCCGGACCAAUCGGAGAAGGCCGCGGACGAGGCCCAGGAAGUAGCCAGCGGCGAGGGGCAGGAGAAGGGGAAGGAGGGGAAGGGAAUAGGUCGGUACCUGCCGACAUGGCUUAAGAAGCAGAAGUCUCAGAGCCAGACCUCCCCGACCAAGGAGGCGCCGCCCACAGAGGACGCCGUCGGCGAGGUGACACAGAAAGAGGAGGAGCCCGCCCCGGACGUGAACGGUCACGCAGAGGAAGUGGAAGAAGGAGAAGAAGGAGAAGAGGAGGCGGUAAAGUUGGAGCAAGUGAAGGAAAAGGAAUCCACCGCCAACGCGGACGCCGAGACCGCCAAGGCGGAGGAGACUGCUGAUAAAGUUCAAGAGGAGACCCAGCCAACAGCAGAGGGAGAAGGAGCGAAGGAGGUGCAGCAGACGGAGGCGAAGAAGGAGGAGCAGGAAGGGGACGCGGCCGGUGAAGAGGAGCAACGAGGGGAAGGAGAAGGCCAGACUUCUAUUUUCCAGUCUCCCCUCCGCCUGGUGAGGAAGACCAAGAUGAAGCUGAUGGAGUGUCACGUGAGCCUCCUGGACGGGACCGACUUCACCUGCGAGGUGGAGGUCCCCACGAGGCCACAUGUUCUUCAUGCUGGGGUCCCCACGAGGCCACAUGUUCUUCAUGCUGGUGUCCCCGCGAGGCCACAUGUUCUUCAUGCUGGUGUCCCCGCGAGGGGCCGUCCACACUUUUUUGCCAUGUCUAGAUGUGUCCCUGUUUUGCUGGAUUUCAACCUGCAACUUUUUUACAAAAGCGAGAGCCUUUUCCCCCACGUCGACAGUGUGCCGACGUCCAAUAUUCUGAGUGUCCACGGCCGCUUGAACAGCAGCUGCUUUGUCUCCCGACAGAAAAACGCUGAUUAGUGCGAUUAACCGCUAUUGUCCUGCAGUGCGCG
ensembl:lncRNA